rnacentral:rRNA from 1 species
AGAGUUUGAUCAUGGCUCAGGAUGAACGCUGGCGGUAUGCCUAACACAUGCAAGUCAUACGAGAGUUUUUAACUCAAGUGGCGGACGGGUGAGUAACACGUGAGAAUUCACCUUUAGGAGGGGGACAACAACUGGAAACGGUUGCUAAUACCCCAUAUGCUUUCGAGUGAAAUGAAUUUAUUCGCCUGAAGAGAAGCUCGCGGCUGAUUAGCUUGUUGGUAGGGUAAGAGCCUACCAAGGCGACGAUCAGUAUCUGGUUUGAGAGGACGAUCAGACACACUGGAACUGAGACACGGUCCAGACUCCUACGGGAGGCAGCAGUGGGGAAUUUUCCGCAAUGGGCGAAAGCCUGACGGAGCAAUACCGCGUGAGGGAAGACGGCCUAUGGGUUGUAAACCUCUUUUUUCAGGGAGGAAUUCAAUGACGUGUACCUGAAGAAUAAGCAUCGGCUAACUCCGUGCCAGCAGCCGCGGUAAGACGGAGGAUGCAAGUGUUAUCCGGAAUCACUGGGCGUAAAGCGUCUGUAGGUUGUUAAACAAGUCAACUGUUAAAUCUUGAGGCUCAACUUCAAAAUCGCAGUCGAAACUGUUUGACUAGAGUAUAGUAGGGGUAAAGGGAAUUUCCAGUGGAGCGGUGAAAUGCGUAGAUAUUGGAAAGAACACCAAUGGCGAAGGCACUUUACUGGGCUAUUGCUGACACUCAGAGACGAAAGCUAGGGUAGCAAAUGGGAUUAGAUACCCCAAUAGUCCUAGCCGUAAACAAUGGAUACUAGAUGUUGAACAGAUCGACCUGUGCAGUAUCAAAGCUAACGCGUUAAGUAUCCCGCCUGGGAAGUAUGCUCGCAAGAGUGAAACUCA